rnacentral:rRNA from 1 species
GAUGAACGCUGGCGGCGUGCCUAAUACAUGCAAGUCGAGCGAACAGAUGAGGAGCUUGCUCCUCUGACGUUAGCGGCGGACGGGUGAGUAACACGUGGAUAACCUACCUAUAAGACUGGGAUAACUUCGGGAAACCGGAGCUAAUACCGGAUCAUAUAUUGAACCGCAUGGUUCAAUAGUGAAAGACGGUUUUGCUGUCACUUAUAGAUGGAUCCGCGCCGCAUUAGCUAGUUGGUAAGGUAACGGCUUACCAAGGCAACGAUGCGUAGCCGACCUGAGAGGGUGAUCGGCCACACUGGAACUGAGACACGGUCCAGACUCCUACGGGAGGCAGCAGUAGGGAAUCUUCCGCAAUGGGCGAAAGCCUGACGGAGCAACGCCGCGUGAGUGAUGAAGGUCUUCGGAUCGUAAAACUCUGUUAUUAGGGAAGAACAAAUGUGUAAGUAACUAUGCACGUCUUGACGGUACCUAAUCAGAAAGCCACGGCUAACUACGUG